rnacentral:rRNA from 1 species
AGCUCGUGUCGUGAGAUGUUGGGUUAAGUCCCGCAACGAGCGCAACCCUUGUCCUUAGUUGCCACCAUUCAGUUGGGCACUCUAAGGAGACUGCCGGUGUUAAACCGGAGGAAGGUGGGGAUGACGUCAAGUCCUCAUGGCCCUUAUAUCCAGGGCUACACACGUGCUACAAUGGCCGGUACAAAGGGUCGCAAUACCGCGAGGUGGAGCUAAUCCCAAAAAGCCGGUCUCAGUUCGGAUUGGAGUCUGCAACUCGACUCCAUGAAGUCGGAAUCGCUAGUAAUCGCGUAUCAGCGUGACGCGGUGAAUACGUUCCCGGGCCUU